AAAAUAUUUUUGGGAAGGAAGAUGUUUCAAUCUCCCUCAAAUCUAUGUUGGGGGGUUUAUUUCUGCUGCCAAGGUCUAAAACAGCUAUGAAGUUGUGUCUUACUAUUUCUUCCAGUGGCCUGCAAUCCACUGGAAACCAUUUCCUCUGUUGUCCAGCAAGCAGUUUAAUUGAGUACUGCAGUUCUUGAGGCAGUACAAGUUGGGGAAUAAACUCAACUAAGGGGUCAUGUCCUGUUUAGAAGAAACAAUCAUUUUAAGAGUAAAGAAUUUGUUUUGACUAAGAUAAUAAUGGAAAUAAUGGAAGACAAGAAGUUAAGAAACUACAUAUA
rnacentral:lncRNA from 1 species